GCGAGAAACCUUUGCAAUGUGCGCAAGCACGACAAGGUUAAUCCGAGUGUUUCCUGCUAAAGGAAUCUUUUGUUAGUCCUAAAAACACUAGUGAAUAAGGGGUGGGCAAGUUCUGGUGUCAGCCGCCGCGGUAAAACCAGCACCUCAAGUGGUCAGGAGGAUUAUUGGGCCUAAAGCAUCCGUAGCCUGCUCUAUAAGUUUCCGGUUAAAUCCAUUGGCUCAACUAAUGGGCUGCCGGAAAUACUGUAGAGCUAGGGAGUGGGAGAGGUAGACGGUACUCGGUAGGAAGGGGUAAAAUCCUUUGAUCUAUUGAUGACCACCUGUGGCGAAGGCGGUCUACCAGAACACGUUCGACGGUGAGGGAUGAAAGCUGGGGGAGCAAACCGGAUUAGAUACCCGCGUAGUCC
rnacentral:rRNA from 1 species